GAAAUGCGAUACGUGAUGUGAAUUGCAGAAUUUGUGAAUCAUCGAGACUUUGAACGCACAUUGCGCCGAUUGGUACUCCUUUCGGCACGCCUGUUCGAGCGUCAUUUAAAAACUCGGAGUAAUCCGGUUAUGGGAGUGUGAUGCAUUCCCGAAAUAUUCCGUCGUUAAGAAGCUACCGCGGUGAAAACGUGGAGGCACCUCGACGAAAACUAUACUCGUACCUUUGACCUCGAAUCAGGCGGGGAUACCCGCUGAACUUAA
rnacentral:misc_RNA from 1 species